AGUGAACGCUGGCGGUAGGCCUAACACAUGCAAGUCGAACGGCAGCACAGUAAGAGCUUGCUCUUACGGGUGGAGAGUGGCGGACGGGGGAGGAAUACAUCGGAAUCUACUUUUUCGUGGGGGAUAACGCAGGGAAACUUACGCUAAUACAGCAUACGACCUACGGGUGAAAGCAGGGGAUCUUUGGACCUUGCGCGAGUGAAUGAGCCGAUGUAGGAUUAGCUAGUUGAGGGGGUAAAGGCCAACCAAGGCGCCGAUCCGUAGCUGGUCUGAGAGGAUGAUCAGCCACACUGGAACUGAGACACGGUCCAGACUCCUACGGGAGGCAGCAGUGGGGAAUAUUGGACAAUGGGCGCAAGCCUGAUCCAGCCAUACCGCGUGGGUGAAGAAGGCCUUCGGGUUGUAAAGCCCUUUUGUUGGGAAAGAAAAGCAGCAGUUUAAUACCCCGCUGUUCUGACGGUACCCAAAGAAUAAGCACCGGCUAACUUCGUG
rnacentral:rRNA from 1 species